rnacentral:rRNA from 1 species
AUUGAACGCUGGCGGCAUGCCUUACACAUGCAAGUCGAACGGCAGCACGGGUGCUUGCCCCUGGUGGCGAGUGGCGAACGGGUGAGUAAUACAUCGGAACAUGUCCUGUAGUGGGGGAUAGCCCGGCGAAAGCCGGAUUAAUACCGCAUACGAUCCACGGAUGAAAGCGGGGGACCUUCGGGCCUCGCGCUAUAGGGUUGGCCGAUGGCUGAUUAGCUAGUUGGUGGGGUAAAGGCCUACCAAGGCGACGAUCAGUAGCUGGUCUGAGAGGACGACCAGCCACACUGGGACUGAGACCCGGCCCAGACUCCUACGGGAGGCAGCAGUGGGAAUUUUGGACAAUGGGCGAAAGCCUGAUCCAGCAAUGCCGCGUGUGUGAAGAAGGCCUUCGGGUUGUAAAGCACUUUUGUCCGGAAAGAAAUCCUUGACUCUAAUACAGUCGGGGGAUGACGGUACCGGAAGAAUAAGCACCGGCUAACUACGUG